rnacentral:rRNA from 1 species
CCCUUAGAUGUUCUGGGCCGCACGCGCGCUACAAUGAUGCAGGCAACGAGUGCCGCUCCUUAGCCGAAAGGCUUGGGGAAUCUUGAAAACUGCAUCGUGCUAGGGAUAGAUGAUUGCAAUCGUGCAUCUUGAACGAGGAAUGCCUUGUAAGCGUGAGUCAUCAACUCGCGCUGAAUACGUCCCUGCCCUUUGUACACACCGCCCGUCGCUCCUACCGAUUGGAUGGUCCGGUGAACUGGUCGGACUGCUGUUUGAAAUUGCGGGUGCAGUUGAUUCACGGGAAGUCUAGUAAACCUUAUCAUCUAGAGGAAGGAGAAGUCGUAACA